rnacentral:rRNA from 1 species
UACGUAGGGGGCUAGCGUUGUCCGGAUUUAUUGGGCGUAAAGAGCGUGUAGGCGGCCAGGUAGGUCUGGUGUGAAAACUCGAGGCUUAACCUCGAGAUGUCAUCGGAAACCAUUUGGCUAGAGUCCGGAAGAGGAGAGUGGAAUUCCUGGUGUAGCGGUGAAAUGCGCAGAUAUCAGGAAGAACACCAAUGGCGAAAGCAGCUCUCUGGGACGGAACUGACGCUAAGGCGCGAAAGCGUGGGGAGCGAACAGG